GAUGAACGCUGGCGGCGUGCCUAAUACAUGCAAGUCGAGCGAACAGACGAGGAGCUUGCUCCUCUGACGUUAGCGGCGGACGGGUGAGUAACACGUGGAUAACCUACCUAUAAGACUGGGAUAACUUCGGGAAACCGGAGCUAAUACCGGAUAACAUGUUGAACCGCAUGGUUCAACAGUGAAAGACGGUUUUGCUGUCACUUAUAGAUGGAUCCGCGUCGCAUUAGCUAGUUGGUAAGGUAACGGCUCACCAAGGCAACGAUGCGUAGCCGACCUGAGAGGGUGAUCGGCCACACUGGAACUGAGACACGGUCCAGACUCCUACGGGAGGCAGCAGUAGGGAAUCUUCCGCAAUGGGCGAAAGCCUGACGGAGCAACGCCGCGUGAGUGAAGAAGGUCUUCGGAUCGUAAAACUCUGUUAUUAGGGAAGAACAAAUGUGUAAGUAACUAUGCACGUCUUGACGGUACCUAAUCAGAAAGCCACGGCUAACUACGUG
rnacentral:rRNA from 1 species